GUAACCAUGGUGUAGUGGUUAUCACAUCCGCCUAACACGCGGAAGGUCCCAGGUUCGAGCCCGGGUGUGUACA
rnacentral:tRNA from 1 species